UGUGUUCUUUUUACUAGCACUAAGGAAACAGC
rnacentral:piRNA from 1 species